rnacentral:lncRNA from 1 species
AGAAAUGCAGUAUGCGGUAAGCAAAGAGAAGAAUCAUGCUGUCCACAUCCUCAGGAUGAGAUUUUGCCACAUGAACCCAGUUUUCAAGAAGGACAUUCCUGAAACCUUCUUCAAGUACAGAAAUGGACUUCAUACAUGUCGAAUGGUAAAUAAUGAGGCUUAUUUGUCAUUCAGUAUGUACUUGAUGGGAUCUGUGAUUCAGACAGUUGUCUGAAAUGCAUGCUCCUGUGUGCAAAAUACCCAUUUAAAAAUAAAUGUGUCUCUAAGUACAUCCACUAAAAUUAUAAUCAAUAUAAUUGUAAUAUUUCACUUACAG